rnacentral:tmRNA from 1 species
GGGGGCGACCUGGGUUCGACGGGGAUAGUUGAGACCACAGUGGCAGGCCGAGCGACCCAGUGUCUCGUUAAUCCAAGGGAUAUAACUGAAAAGCAGACUCUUACGAGUACGCUCUGGCUGCUUAAGCCAGCGUCUUCUUGGGCACAUGGCCCGUGGAUCCUUGAAGGCGUAGCUAAAUGGGCUGGCUGUUAGGGGUUUCAGACUGACUCUGACGGCGAGAAAUUUAGUUUGAUAGCUUUGCGGCAGCCCGUGCGUCGGCGUCCAAGAAGCGAAACUCAAAUGGCGUAAUAAGCCUGUAGAAGCUUUGGGGGAAGAUCUUCGGACGCGGGUUCAAUUCCCGCCGCCUCCACCA